UCAGAUCUCAAGCAGGAUACGGUGGCAGACUUCAACCCAGCAGUAGGACCUUGGGUGCAUCGAAGAAAGCUCUCACAAGUUGGGGACCGAUCGGGCUGCAGCGUACAGUUCUCAGAGUGAGGUCUGAGACGCACGCUAACCUCACCGACAAGCCGACAGCCAGAGGAAACUUUUGUGACACAAAGUAUCCACAUCCAUCCUGGCCGGUCCCAGAUACAAAUUACAAACAAGGACUACAAUUGUGCUGGUAAUAGUCUUGCUUUUCAUUCCUGGCUUAUAUUUUUGUAUUUU